rnacentral:rRNA from 1 species
UACGUAGGGGGCAAGCGUUGUCCGGAUUUAUUGGGCGUAAAAGGCUUGUAGGUGGCCACGCCAAGUCGGAUGUGAAAUCUCCCGGCUCAACUGGGAGGGGUCAUUCGAUACUGGCGGGCUCGAGGCCGGUAGGGGGAAGUGGAAUUCCCGGUGUAGAGGUGGAAUGCGUAGAUAUCGGGAGGAACACCAGUGGCGAAGGCGGCUUCCUGGACCGGUUCUGACACUGAGGAGCGAAAGCGUGGGGAGCGAUCCGG